rnacentral:rRNA from 1 species
CAAAGGAAUUGACGGGGACCCGCACAAGCGGUGGGAGCAUGUGGUUUAAUUCGAAGCAACGCGAAGAACCUUACCAAAUCUUGACAUCCUUUGACCACUCUGGAGACAGAGCUUUCCCCUUCGGGGGACAAAGUGACAGGUGGUGCAUGGUUGUCGUCAGCUCGUGUCGUGAGAUGUUGGGUUAAGUCCCGCAACGAGCGCAACCCUUAAGCUUAGUUGCCAUCAUUAAGUUGGGCACUCUAAGUUGACUGCCGGUGACAAACCGGAGGAAGGUGGGGAUGACGUCAAAUCAUCAUGCCCCUUAUGAUUUGGGCUACACACGUGCUACAAUGGACAAUACAAAGGGCAGCUAAACCGCGAGGUCAUGCAAAUCCCAUAAAGUUGUUCUCAGUUCGGAUUGUAGUCUGCAACUCGACUACAUGAAGCUGGAAUCGCUAGUAAUCGUAGAUCAGCAUGCUACGGUGAAUACGUUCCCGGGUCUUGUACACACCGCCCGUCACACCACGAGAGUUUGUAACACCCGAAGCCGGUGGAGUAACCAUUAUGGAGCUAGCCGUCGAAGGUGGGACAAAUGAUUGGGGUGAAGUCGUAACAAGGUAA